rnacentral:rRNA from 1 species
UACGAAGGGAGCUAGCGUUGUUCGGAAUCACUGGGCGUAAAGCGCACGUAGGCGGAUGUGUCAGUCAGGGGUGAAAUCCCGGAGCUCAACUUCGGAACUGCCUCUGAUACAGCACGUCUUGAGUCCGAGAGAGGUGGGUGGAAUUCCUAGUGUAGAGGUGAAAUUCGUAGAUAUUGGGAAGAACACCGGUGGCGAAGGCGGCGCUCUGGACCGAGACUGACGCUGAGGCGCGAAGGCGUGGGGAGCAAACAGG